GCCGAACCAAUGCCCGAUGGUUUGCCGGAAGAAUUUGACUCUGUAAGCUUAAUAUCCACUACCAUAGUUACAGGCAUUAUUUAACAGAAGCGAGAUUAAUAGAAUUAACCAACACUGAUAAUAAGUUUGUAAGUUAAAUACCAAUAUAACAAUCUAAUUCAAAGUAAGAUAAAUUUUGAUUUUUUUCAAGGGAAAAGUAACGGGAAUGAAAGAUGUCAAAGAGCGAGGAAAGUUUCUGUCCGAGGAAUUUGGAAUGGACUCUCACCAAACAAGGAAAAUCUGGUGCUUUGGCCCCUCCACCUCGGGGCCCAAUAUGCUGAUGGACGUGACCAAGGCCUGUCAGUAUCUGCACGAGGUCAAGGACACAGUGGUCGCCGGCUUCCAAUGGGCGACGGAAGAGGUAUGUCUGCCUUCUCUACAGGCACGUGUUGAUUUCAUACCGAGUUUUCUUUGAUUCCUAUGGUUAUGUAUUGCUGCAAGUUCACGGGUUGAAUGGAAAUCGGUUUAAUGUAUCUGAAUUAAGGUGGCUCACUACACCAUGAAUUAGUUUCGUUAAUCAGCAGUGAUUAUGAAAGACAGCAUGAUUCAUAAGAAGUAAAUAAACUUAGUACACAAACAAAUCUAUAAGUACAUGUAUGUCCUGAUAUAGUGAGCUACCUUAUAUCAGGUUAUGUCCACAAAAUAGAUCAUAAGUACACGUAUUCUUUAUUAUUUAGGGUGUUCUAUGUGAAGAAAACAUGCGAGGAGUACAGUUUAACUUGGAGGAUCUUGUGGCUCACUCAGACCCCGCCCACCGCAAGGGGGCUCAGAUGAUCCCGGCGACCAGAAGGUGUCUCUUUGCCUCCUUCCUGACAGCUAGUCCCCGAAUACUGGAACCCGUCUACCAGGUCGACAUCGAUGUUCCGCCAUCAGUAAUGGGCGGGGUUUUCAAUGUGUUGUCAAAGCGACGAGGUCAUGUGAUCGAAGAACAGCAGAAAUCGGGUUCACCUAUGUACAGCAUCAAAGCCCAUCUUCCUGUUAACGAAUCUUUCGGUAAGACAAUUUUUUUUCAAACGAAUUUAUCAUGCUCAUGAAUUUCUUUAAUUUCAUUUAAUACCGGAUAACUUUGCAUAUAAAACAAUUGAUAUUACAUCACAUGAUUAAAGGGUGACAAAGUUGGGAUUUUUUUUCUAAAGGUUUCGCUGCGGAGUUGAGAGGACAAACUGGUGGGCAAGCCUUCCCACAAUGCGUCUUCGAUCACUGGCAGUUGCUUCCCGGCGAUCCUCUUGAGCAGACGACACGUGCAGGAGCCGUGGUAACAAACAUACGUCAGAGGAAGGGACUGAACCCUGUCAUACCAAAGCUAGAUAACUUUUUGGACAAACUUUAAUUGACAAAAUUAUUAUACAAAUCCUGGUAAAACUUAAAAAUUACUUUAAAAAGAGACAUGUAUACAUCGCUGAAAGUGUGAAAUAUUGAAAAAAUAAAUGAAAUAUAAUAAUUACAGAACAU
rnacentral:misc_RNA from 1 species